CCUACGGGAGGCAGCAGUCGGGAAUAUUGCGCAAUGGAGGAAACUCUGACGCAGUGACGCCGCGUAUGGGAAGAAGGUUUUCGGAUUGUAAACCAUUGUCGUUAGGGAAGAAGAAGUGACAGUACCUAAGGAGGAAGCGCCGGCUAACUCCGUGCCAGCAGCCGCGGUAAUACGGAGGGCGCGAGCGUUAAUCGGAAUUACUGGGCGUAAAGCGCGCGUAGGCUGUUGUGUAAGUUGGGGGUGGAAUCCCACGGCUCAACCGUGGAACAGCCCUUGAUACUGCGCGACUUGAAUCCGGGAGAGGG
rnacentral:rRNA from 1 species